AGAGGAAAUAGUUAAACCAUAAUGUAAGAUUGUCAAUCUUUAGUUGCUUAAUAAAUAAAGCUUUCCUUUU